rnacentral:rRNA from 1 species
AGUGAACGCUGGCGGUAGGCCUAACACAUGCAAGUCGAACGGCAGCACAGUAAGAGCUUGCUCUUACGGGUGGCGAGUGUCGGACGGGUGAGGAAUACAUCGGAAUCUACCUUUUCGUGGGGGAUAACGCAGGGAAACUUACGCUAAUACCGCAUACGACCUACGGGUGAAAGCAGGGGAUCUUCGGACCUUGCGCGAUUGAAUGAGCCGAUGUCGGAUUAGCUAGUUGGCGGGGUAAAGGCCCACCAAGGCGACGAUCCGUAGCUGGUCUGAUAGGAUGAUCAGCCGCACUGGAACUGGGACACGGUCCAGACUCCUACGGGAGGCAGCAGUGGGGAAUAGUGGACAAUGGGCGCAAGCCUGAUCCAGCCAUACCGCGUGGGUGAAGAAGGCCUUCGGGUUGUAAAGCCCUUUUGUUGGGAAAGAAAAGCAGCAGGUUAAUACCCCGCUGUUCUGACGGUACCCAAAGAAUAAGCACGGGCUAACUUCGUG